rnacentral:rRNA from 1 species
UACGUAGGGGGCAAGCGUUGUCCGGAUUCAUUGGGCGUAAAGAGCGUGUAGGCGGCCCGGUAGGUCGGUUGUGAAAACUGGAGGCUCAACCUUCAGAGGUCGACCGAAACCAUCUGGCUAGAGUCCGGGAGAGGAGAGUGGAAUUCCUGGUGUAGCGGUGAAAUGCGCAGAUAUCAGGAGGAACACCGGUGGUGUAGACGGCUUACUGGACCAUAACUGACGCUGAGGCACGAAAGCGUGGGGAGCAAACAGG